GUCGAACGGAGUAGCAAUACUCAGUGGCAGACGGGUGAGUAACAUGUAGGUAUCUGCCCUUCGGCCUGGAAUAACACGAGGAAACUUGUGCUAAUACCGGAUAAGUCUUUACGGAGAAAGCUUUAUGCACCAUUGGAUGAGCCUGCACUUGAUUAGUUUGUUGGUGGGGUAAUGGCCUACCAAGACUUUGAUCAAUAGCUGAUUUGAGAGGAUGAUCAGCCACAUUGGGACUGAGACACGGCCCAAACUCCUACGGGAGGCAGCAGUAAGGAAUCUUGCACAAUGGGGGAAACCCUGAUGCAGCGAUGCCGCGUGAGUGAAGAAGGCCUUUGGGUUGUAAAGCUCUUUCGUCGGGGAAGAAAAUGACUGUACCCGAAUAAGAAGGUCCGGCUAACUUCGUGCCAGCAGCCGCGGUAAUACGAAGGGACCUAGCGUAGUUCGGAAUUACUGGGCUUAAAGAGUUCGUAGGUGGUUAAAAAAGUAGGUGGUGAAAUCCCAGAGCUUAACUCUGGAACUGCCAUCAAAACUUUUUAGCUAGAGUAUGAUAGAGGAAAGCAGAAUUUCUAGUGUAGAGGUGAAAUUCGUAGAUAUUAGAAAGAAUACCAAUUGCGAAGGCAGCUUUCUGGAUCAUUCUGACCUGAGGACGAAGCAUGGUAGCGAAAGGAUCGAUACCUCGUAGUCCAUGCGUAACGAUGUGUGUAGAGUUGAAU
rnacentral:rRNA from 1 species